CUUCUGUUCCUCUUCUCCUCUCUGUCGGGCUCAGAUUUGGUGAAUCGAGCUUAGAUUUAGUGUUAGUGAUCUACAGAGAUUUGAUAGUUUGUAUAAUCGAAGAUGUAGGUGAUGUUUCUUUGGUUGCUUGAACACGGGAAGGAGAAGAUGGGGUUGCUUCUGUCAACUGAAGUUUGGGUUUGUGAAGAACUGAUGGUGAGAUAGUGUUGUUGAUUGAUAAAGAAUCGAGGGGUUGUUAUUGGAUUGACUAGUUGAUGCUGUUCUGAUGAUGAAUCGAUUUGAAAAGUUACUCUUUAUUAACAAGGAUCGAUUGAAAGGAUGAACCAGUGGAUCAUGGAUCUCGAGGUACGCAUGGCUUGUCAUCAAAUCAGUUUCAGUUACCAGAAGAAAUGAUGCAGGUGAAGAUAUCCAUUUUCAUAGUUUAAAGCGUUACCGAAAUUGUGUUACAUUUAUGUAUCUUUUUAGUAUGUGUACUCUUCAUUUAUUGUAAAACAACACACUAAUAUAUUAAUAUCAUUUGAGUGU